rnacentral:rRNA from 1 species
AGUGAACGCUGGCGGUAGGCCUAACACAUGCAAGUCGAACGGCGGCACAGUAAGAGCUUGCUCUUACGGGUGGCGAGUGGCGGACGGGUGAGGAAUACAUCGGAAUCUACUUUUUCGUGGGGGGAAACGUAGGGAAAUUACCCUUAUACCGCCUAACAACAUCGGGGUGAAGCCCGGGAACUUCCGACCUUCCGCGGAUGUAUUAGCCGGUGUGGGAUUUGCCAGGUGGCGGGGUAAAGGGCCACCAAGGGGACGGUCCGUAGCUGGUCUGAGAGGAUGAUCAGACACACUGGAACUGAGAGACGGUCCAGACUCCUACGGGGGGCAGCAGUGGGGAAUAUUGGACAAUGGGCGCAAGCCUGAUCCAGCCAUACCGCGUGGGUGAAGAAGGCCUUCGGGUUGUAAAGCCCUUUUGUUGGGAAAGAAAAGCAGCAGGUUAAUACCCCGCUGUUCUGACGGUACCCAAAGAAUAAGCACCGGCUAACUUCGUG